CCUACGGGUGGCAGCAGUGAGGAAUAUUGGUCAAUGGACGAGAGUCUGAACCAGCCAAGUAGCGUGAAGGAAGACUGCCCUAUGGAUUGUAAACUUCUUUUAUAAAGGAAUAAAACGCGGCACGUGUGCCUUUUUGCAUGUACUUUAUGAAUAAGCAUCGGCUAACUCCGUGCCAGCAGCCGCGGUAAUACGGAGGAUCCGAGCGUUAUCCGGAUUUAUUGGGUUUAAAGGGAGCGGAGAUGGGUGGUUAAGUCAGUUGUGAAAGUUUGGAGCUCAACCGUAAAAGUGAAGUUGAUACUGGCAGUCUUGAGUACACUUGAGGUAGGCGGAAUGCGUGGUGUAGCGGUGAAAUGCUUAGAUAUCACGAAGAACCCCGAUUGCGAAGGCAGCUUACUAGACUGUAACUGACAUUGAUGCACGAAAGUGUGGGUAUCAAACAGGAUUAGAUACCCCUGUAGUC
rnacentral:rRNA from 1 species